AUGGAUCGUUGGAAGAUUCUCUUCAACUAUGUGUCGCAGUUUGCUCUUAUGAUAUUUGUGUUCAGUUUGGCUUUUUAUCUCUACGUUGGAAAUGUCCUACCAGACUUACGUGGCGAGAAACCAGAAAGACCUCUCAUUGAGAAAUGUAAUUUGGACUGCGACGCUGGCUUCGGGGAAUCUGCGAAGAAUGAGUUCCAGUGGCAUUUUAGAGAAAAGGCUAGAUUCUACAUACUCUUCGUGCAAAUAAAGGGACAGAAUUUCAGCUCCAAACAUUCAGCAGAUGACGACAAUUUAGACCCUCAUAAUUUCGUGUGGGUGGAAAACGAGGGAGAACCGUUCUUAUCCUUAGACUUGGGCUAUAAUGUCUACUCCAUGACAACCCUGUCACGAGUCGUUCACCACAUGAGAAAUGCCACAGUUCCCUAUGAACUCCAAUACUGCUUGAAUAACUCAACUGAUGACUGCCUAACCGCAAAUUUAGCCAAGAACUUUCUUCGCAACGUCACGGACAGAAAAGGUGCGAUGUGCUACUCUGUAUAUUAUGAUAACUCACUCACGUACCGAUGCUGUAAGUGGGAACCGAACUCUGAAAAACUCAUCAAAUGUGACAUCCCAGUCGUCCGAGAGGAAUGGAUGUUUGUUCUCUUGAUUUCCAUGACUAUCGCCUCAGGAAUCGCAAUUUUAUAUUUCCCUGCAAUUGUUAAUAUCUUACCCGAAGAAGCAGACCCAGAAAUGCUGAAUCCAAAUACCCAAAUGAAUGUUUUGUAUCAGGGAAUAGUUUACACCAUACAAGGGGUGUACCCCACCGGUCGAUACUGGGCAGACGUUGCGAGAAAGUUGUUUAUAACGCUAUUGGUGUUUCCGUCGCUUUUUGGGCUCCACUUAUUUAUCCUGUGGUACGUCAAGGAGUAUAACAUGCCAGCGAUGUUUACUAGCCACGAUGUUAGUGAGAAAUGGAAGACAAACCAACGAUACCCUCAAGGACUUCGGGACUCGGCCGGCUGGAUUGUGUUAUCUGUGAUCGUGUCUUUUCUUCCACAUAUUAGCACUUUCCAGAUCCCCGCGGAUAAUCACAAAUACCGCAGUCGCGCUUGCUACCUGAACACUCUUAUGGAAAAGGAAAAGCGACGAAAGAAAAAUUGGCGUAUCCCGUUUAACCUCACGAUUGCCAUAACCAAGAUUCCAGUACUUGCUUCAGGGCUGGCUUUCCGUCAGGGAUCCUGGUUGAAGGCUUUUGCCUUUUUGCCUUUGGCUAUUCUUAACGUUUUCUUGUCUCCUAUCCUGUUCUGUGUAUUCCUUAUCGGUUAUAUCCUACACGUGUCCCCUCUUGGUGAGGCAACAACUCUUUCAUUCUUCCACUUCUGCCUUAUCGUGAACUGGAUAGCGUAUUACACGUCACGGCAGCGUCAAAGGCGUCUUCUGCACAUCAUUGGCAUUAUUUGCCUUAUUAUCUGCUGUGUGGCGUUCGGUUUGGGAGUUGCGGGCUUGUCUGAGAUCAUUUGUAUCUCUUUGGUACUUCUAACAAAGUUUAUCGCUUACACUCUGAUGGGGUUGGUUUUGAGCGCUGAGUACUAUUCGCAUGUUUUAUUAUUUAUAUUCACUUUUGCGUUUUAUGUCUGGCACUGUUUCUGUUCAGUGACCGCGAAAUAUCAACAACUUUUAAAAUUAACGUUUGAUCACAGCAAAGAAAAAGAUGGAAAUAAAGACUUCAUCUAUACUCUGAACGAGAAAGGUGUUCCUAGAAUUCCAAUAAAACUCUUUCAAAAUGUUUGCGACGAGAUUCUCCCACGCAACGAGGCUUAUGGAAAAAUGGUUCUGAAACUCGCUGGAAUAUUGUUAUUUCUAUGUGUAACAUUCUCAUCUGUCAUGCUGUUCUCGCGGAAAGCUGGUCUAAAUUCAGCAAUAACUGCCACCUUCUCAUUGAUUACUGGAAUCAUCCCGAAACUAGCGAUGUUUAUCAGCCAAGGAAGUUCCGCGAAGGACUUGCACGAUUUUGCCUUGUCCUCACGCGUUGAGAAAGUUGUGCAGGCGUAUCUAGAUGAAGGUCGGGAUGUUGGGAAACCAGAUAAAUUAAGUCGUCCAUUAAAUGAGUCGAUGAAGUUGGAGCAAUUGGAAGCCACGACGAAGUGGAAACAAAUCACUAACGACUCACAAGAGACUCGUGUCUAGCUUUUGUGAGAGAACUAGAAACAUACACGCAUCAUAGACCAUAUGUCCAUUCGGGUUUUUAACUCGUGAAUGCUUUAAGCAUUUACGAGUUAUUGGAGGGACUUCUGUGUCACUCGAUCGUCAGAUAGUUGGAUCGAUCAUCCGUAAGCUUUUUGUGGUCUUUCUGUGCUUUCGCAACACAGCAGUUUUUAGAACUUCCUGUAAACUUCCGAUGACCAACUUCCGGUUAAAGCUUAUGCUGUGUUUACACUUGAGCGUCCAACCUAGGUUGAGUAACUACGAAACCAAGGUUAGAUUUAUGGUGUGUGUGAACACGCUCCAAAUAGCCACUUAGGUUCGGUUGAGCUCAACCAUUCCAGGAGGCAUGGUUGAGCGAACUCAACCGAGGUUACAGGCAAAUCUGUUGACAGUUCUUGUCAGCUAUCGCAUUCCGAUGUCAGUCAUUUCUCAAAAAGUUUUUACUUAAUAGUCGUGAGAUCACCACAUGUUUUUGAGAUCCGCGCAUUUUACUGGACAUUUUACACAAUCUUUUACAAAAAACUAGUUUCCAAGUCAAGGUACUAGCGCAAACAAUAAAAACAAAAACGACAAACAUCAGGCAACGUGAUCCCAAAAAGAUCAUCUUGAAUUAUAGCGAAUCUUGUAAGCGGAAGCCACCACAGAAUAACAAGAACGGCCAGAAAAAUCUCAAUAAUCGCAGCAGCAAUUUGACCUCAGAAUUCAAAUUGAUAACACCGGCGCUGAUCAACCGAGGUUAAGUUUUCAAGUGUAAACGCAUUUCUCCUAACCGGGGUUCAGUUAACCACAAACUGAACCUAGGUUGACGCUCAAAGUGUAAACACAGCAUUAGUACUAUAAGAGAGCCUUGUCAUCGACGUGUGACCGCUAUGGUCAUUACGUGUUAUAGCCGUAGAGUAUAUAUAAGCUAGUUUUUACAGAAAAGUCUUCGAUGUGGGUUAAGCGUGCGCAUGCGCCUUCGUCACUGACGUCAAUCGAUCUUCUACGGUUCAGUCCAAUUCAAGUUGUUAGUUUACAAAACAAGUAAAAUGCUAGCAAAGCUUUUAAUUCUCCUUCUUCUAGUACUUGAAGAUUCGCAUCUCUGGGUUUUCCUCGUAUAUUUUUGGAAUUUGUGCUGAAAGAGUGAUUUUGUGCUAAAAAAGCGGAUAGCCAAAGCUGCGACUUUUAAAGUCAGAGAAACACAAGGGAAAAGCCUCUGUUAGCAGGGCCUUUCUUUGCAGGGUAAUAAAAGAAAGCCUCUGUUUGCAGGUUAAGAAAAAUAGUAUGGACUUUCAUAAGUUGUUUUUUCCAUAAUUAUUUUUUAUAAGUGCUAAAUAUCAAACAAAACUCGUUCAAACUCGCUUAUCCAUCAAGAAACGAUCAAUAACGAUUUUGCGAAUUUCUAGAAUGUUGACAUCGUUAAAAUGACUGUAGCUUAAUUAAUUAUGUCGGGUAUUUAACUUCUGUUUCCGGGGAGAAAAGGGCGAAAUUUGACAUGCUAGCAAAAGCAGGUCGAACGGUGAGAUACCCAUUAGGGUAAAAACUAAUUUUAAUCAAAGGUUACUUCGGCAAUGCCUCGGUGGUAUAGUGGUUCUGCGCUUGUCUAAGGCAUCAGAGACCGGAGGUUCGAUCCCUACUUGUGACAUCUAAUUUUUUUUUCUUUUUCUUUUUUUUUACUUUUUAUGAUAAUAAUAAAUAAUCAAACUGUUCUUGGUGUUACAUCACAUCGAAAAGAAAGGACAUUAGAAUCUACUUCCAGCAUCUUGGAUGUGUUAAUCCUUUGUUCAAAAUUCAUCCUGUAUAUGUUUUAUGCACACAAGAAAGUAACCUGAAAAACAAAUUUGCAUUCACGAUUUGUCUCACAGAGCCCUUUGAUUUCCAUUCGAGUAACAUUAAGGCGCUCGUAUCUACGAACAUUACACUAUAAAGACAAUUACGAAUACCAUCUAAAUUAAGAUACCAGGCUCUUUAUUUUGCACUUGAUGGUUUCGUAUCCGCCUUCUGCACUGAUUCUCGAAGGUUAUUCCAGGCACAGGCACGAGUUGCCUGGACCCGAAAAGAAUUCAGACCAAAAGUGGUUGUGUGAACCUUAGUACUUUGAGAUUAUUAUAGCCCCCUGGGAAACAAUAGUUGACUAUUUGCUCUUGUUUACUUUGUUGACCUUGAAAUUGACAGUACUCGUAAGUUAUCACUCAGUAGAAACAGGGUAAUGGACCAUCUCAUUACAGCUGCCCGUAAUAGCGCACGCAACACAAGUGAAAGUGCCGGUCGUUUUCCUGGGAAUCCUGUGGGGUUUGUGCGUGAAAGCGAGGCCUUGGAAGGUCAGAGCCUGUUAACAUUUUAAAAACAGCCAUAUUUUGUUUAAUUGAAUCGUGGCUCUCGGGUAAACAACAAAAACACCGCGUUUUUUAAACUGUAAAAUAUGUUAUCUUUUAUGGACCUUGUGUGAGCCAUCCGAAAGCCUCGUCUCCAUGCGCUCGCCUCAGUUCGUCCCCGUGUUUCUCCUUUACUUUUGUAUUUCAAUCAUUUUUUUUUUAACAUUUAUUAACUAUUCUAUUUUUUAUUUUCUUUAUUCUUCUGCUCGAAUCAUACCUGUUUCCUUUGUUAUCAAAUAUUUCUCAGGCAACAGCCAAACUAGGCAAAUAUUCGAUGAAUCAUUUGUCUUACGGGCAUGGAUCUGCAAUAACUCAGAAUUUUUUUGCCUCAAAAUAUUUUUUGUCUAAAAAAUGUGUCUAAAUCGGUGAUGAAUUCUAGAUAUAGUAUUUGUGAUUGAAUUGUUGCCUAGUUUUAGCCAGCGUUAUGGGAAAUCUAUCAAAACAACCAAAGUAUGACAUUUAAAAAAAGCAUUUCAAACCAAAACAACCCUAAAGCUAAUCAUAAAAUCACGAUCUUGUCAAUUCUAGCAAUUAAGAUAAUUCAUCAAAUUUAUUAUGGGAUUUAUGUGUGCAGAUAUACGAUCGUUCGCGGAAAAUUCCUAUUUUUAGUACGGCCUACACGAUCAUUUAUGAAAUAAGAAGAAAAUGCGAGUUCUAUUUUUUCUGAAGUAUUUAGCCAAAUGUAAACUUAGCAGUAUUAUUAUCUAUGUUAUCAAUGACUUCAACUCCAAGAAAUCGUACGUGGUUUGAGGUAUUUAUUUUUCCGUUUCAAAAGUUUUUAAAGUUUUCUUUUUGAUUUAAUUCUAUAGCAGUAAUUUAAUAAUAUAUUUUCGAGAUGGUCAGUUCUAAUGAUUAUUAUCUCAAACUUGAAAUGUUGUUUUUGAAUAUAUAGUUUUCUUGAAAGCUACUGAUGCUUUUGACCUCCAACUGUUUGCUGAGUCUGAUUAGAAAGACAUAUCCCCCGUUGCAGCUAUUACAUUGGAAAAUUCCUUUUCCCCUAUAACAGGCUCUUUAAUCUGAAUUGAAAUGUGCUAAUAGAGGAUUGACGCCAUUAUGUUUAAGAUCGUAUCACGUUUGCUCAACUGCUAAAGUACUGCCAUUGGCUUUCGCAGAAUGCGCAUUGUGAUUCGUCCUUUUCGAUGCUGACGUCAUUAGAUAGUCUAUCGAUGUUCCAACCAGCCAAAUAUUGACUCCGAUGUCUCGGAUUCGUGUCGCAAAUUUGCAUAUCUCAAUUAGUAUUUUUAAUUUAUUUGCAUGAAGAUUUGUUGUUUAAAUUUUAUGUUCCGUGUAUUGCGGAAUUGCUAAUCGAAUUCGGUGAAAUCCUAUGUGCCUACAUUUUUGGAUCAUCGUCUGUCUUAAUGAAAAUUGAUUGAGGAGUUAUGCGUUGUCUCGCAUAUCCGGCAUUGCUAAGGGCGUAAAAAGAUUCUUCAGAACACGGCGAGCCUACAUAAUGGCCAAAAAGUCUGAGGAACGCAAGCUACUGUCCAGUCAAAUGGACAGUGUGGAUUCUGACGCAACUGAAGAAAUACACGAGACACAAAGGCUGAAUGGCAACGACAAGGCCUCGAAAACAGAAAGGAAAUCCGCACUGUUCUCGUCUAUUCAAGAUGUGUUCACCUAUGCCCGGACAGGGAUCCAAGGAUUCUUUGAUAA